UGCCGCGUGAGUGAAGAAGGCCUUCGGGUUGUAAAGCUCUUUUGUCAGGGAAGAAACGGUGAUCUCUAAUAUAGAUUGCUAAUGACGGUACCUGAAGAAUAAGCACCGGCUAACUACGUGCCAGCAGCCGCGGUAAUACGUAGGGUGCAAGCGUUAAUCGGAAUUACUGGGCGUAAAGCGUGCGCAGGCGGUUAUAUAAGUCAGAUGUGAAAUCCCCGGGCUCAACCUGGGAACUGCAUUUGAGACUGUAUGGCUAGAGUGUGUCAGAGGGGGGUAGAAUUCCACGUGUAGCAGUGAAAUGCGUAAAUAUGUGGAGGAAUACCGAUGGCGAAGGCAGCCCCCUGGGAUAACACUGACGCUCAUGCACGAAAGCGUGGGGAGCAAACAGGAUUAGAUACCCUGGUAGUCCACGCCCUAAACGAUGUCUACUAGUUGUUGGGUCUUAAUUGACUUAGUAACGCAG
rnacentral:rRNA from 1 species